CCAUGCAUGUCUAAGUAUAAGCGAGUAUACUGUGAAACUGCGAAUGGCUCAUUAAAUCAGUUAUGGUUUAUUUGAUGGUACCUUGCUACUUGGAUAACCGUAGUAAUUCUAGAGAUAAUACAUGCAGGAGUUCCCGACUUCGGAAGGGAUGUAUUUAUUAGAUAAGAAACCAAACCGGUCUCCGGUUGCGUGCUGAGUCAUACUAACUGCUCGAAUCGCACGGCUUUACGCUGGCGAUGGUUCAUUCAAAUUUCUGCCCUAUCAGCUUUCGAUGGUAGGAUAGAGGCCUACCAUGGCGUUAACGGGUAACGGAGAAUUAGGGUUCGAUUCCGGAGAGGGAGCCUGAGAAAUGGCUACCACAUCCAAGGAAGGCAGCAGGCGCAGUAAAUUGCCCGAAUCCUGACACAGGGAGGUAGUGACAAGAAAUAACAAUACAGGGCUCUUCGAGUCUUGUAAUUGGAAUGAGUACA
rnacentral:rRNA from 1 species